UCCAAAUAGUAAAUUAGUGAAUGUAUUUCAUGGCAGUUUGAUUAUUCUGGGACAAACAGUGCAGUCUUCCUCAAAGCAUCACUGUGAAUGUAAUCAUAUAAUGUUAAAAAUAUAAUAAGUCUUUUUAUUAUUGGUCAAUGAAAUAAAUAAAUCCUCUUUAUUAUCAGAAUGAAAACAGACUUCCACAAACGAACGUCAACUGAUGACUCCAUAAUUAUUCAGCCCUUCAAAGGUGACUGACCUACUUCAACAGCCAAAAUCACAUAUUUCUGGAAGGUCCACUCACUGGUUAUUCAGCAUGCCAGGCUGCAGUUACACCAUGCAGACAAAAGAGCACUCGGAGCAAGUUAAAGGAAAGUUUAUUCAAAAGUAGCAGUCUGGGAAUGGAGACAGAGGAGUUCACUUAAAUCUGUCAUCAUGAAACGGAAGCAAUCAAAUCUGCCUAAAUCUGACACUCAAAGGUAAACUGGAUACCUGGCUGACCAUCACGUUCACGACCAGAUGCUGCCAACACCUCCCUUUCCUUGUGAAGGUGCAUGAGAAACCCUGGAUUAACUUUGCUAACCAGCGGUUAUCCUGAUCACGACUGUUAGUGGGUGAUUCUCAAGUCUGUUGGAGCCCAGGCAAAAAGGGACAAGGACACCUGACAGCCCAGUGUGCCCAGCAGAGCUGACAUGAGGGCUGUUUCAACUGAAUCACACACUCUGCUUGCCAGAGGUGAUCCAGGUGUUUUGUUUGUUUUUCUUUUUGUUCCUUCCCCCCUUUCUCAUCAUCUCUUCUCCCCUCUGUUUUUCUUUCUCUCCCUCUUUCUUUCAUUCUUUCCUUCUCCCUGUCCUUUCCCCCAGUCAUGUCUGUCCCGUCUGUAACAACUGAUAAUAAAAUAAAAUAAAUAAACAAUUAUAAUAAAGGUCAAUCAAAUGGACCAACAUGGCAUCUUUCUCGGCCUUCAAACAACAAUUCUGAUGGCUAAAGAUCCAAAUGGGACAGGCAAAAAAUAUAAAUGAUGAUAACCAUGUGCAGCUUCUCUCGUCUUCCAUUUUUCCCUGAUAUGUUUCACUCUAAAUCAGACACGUGUUAAAGUGUGUUGGCUGCAUGUUAAGGUCAAAAUGCUGAUGAGCUCUGAUCCAGUUGACUGAUAUACUCUGCUCUACAUCCUGCACUGAAAUAUGAGGAUUG
ensembl:lncRNA